AUGCACACGGGCAGGAGGUUUCUUGGAUGUGCUAAGAAGGAAGGCAUAAACUAUGGAGUAGUUAAAUGGAUUGAUUUUGAAUGGCCAGACUCAAUGGAGAAGGCAUUGGCCAAGCUAUGGGAUAUGUAUGAGGAGAUUAAGUCAGCUAGGACCAAUGACAAUCUAGAGAGUUCCUUUGCAAUUCACAACCUGACAGAAGAGAAGAAGAAACUACAGGAGAACUAUGACAGUUUGUAUGCUGAUGUGAAUGCACUUUUGGAUGCCUAG
rnacentral:rRNA from 1 species